rnacentral:rRNA from 1 species
AUUGAACGCUGGCGGCAUGCCUUACACAUGCAAGUCGAACGGCAGCACGGACUUCGGUCUGGUGGCGAGUGGCGAACGGGUGAGUAAUGUAUCGGAACGUACCUUUCAGUGGGGGAUAACGUAGCGAAAGUUACGCUAAUACCGCAUAUUCUGUGAGCAGGAAAGCAGGGGAUCGCAAGACCUUGCGCUGAUUGAGCGGCCGAUAUCAGAUUAGCUAGUUGGUGGGGUAAAGGCCUAUCAGGGCUACGAUCUGUAGCGGGUCUGAGAGGAUGGUCCGCCACACUGGAACUGAGACACGGUCCAGACUCCUACGGGAGGCAGCAGUGGGGAAUUUUGGACAAUGGGGGCAACCCUGAUCCAGCCAUGCCGCGUGAGUGAAGAAGGCCUUCGGGUUGUAAAGCUCUUUCGGCCGGGAAGAAAUCGCAUAGGCUAAUACCCUGUGUGGAUGACGGUACCGGAAUAAGAAGCACCGGCUAACUACGUGCCAGCCGCCGCAGUAA